CCGUGCGCCUUGUUCCGGGUGGGCCCAGCGCCGGGAGUCGGCCGGUGAGGCGGCGCGCCUGCGCGGGCCUGUUUGUGGCAAAGAACAGGGACUGCGUGGGGUCGAGCAUGCGUGGGCGCACGCGGGGGUGUGUGUCUGUGCGCCCUGAGCCUAGUGGAGACGUUUCCUGUGCGCCUCCUGCGAAGCUCCUCGAGGCACCUCAAGGCUGGCGUGGCUGCAGGCCUGUCCUGAGAGUGGGAGGCCGACUGACAUACCAGGUGGAUCCAAGGUUUAAUUUUUUUUUUAAAGUGAGCUAUAAAAAUACUGAAGAACAAAGAGGAAAUUUUCUAGAAUCUUGGAGUGAAGGAGGCUUUCUGAGUAUGUCACCAAAUUCAGCAGCCAUAAAAGAAAAAAAAUCGGAAAAAAAAUCGAUAA